rnacentral:misc_RNA from 1 species
UGGGGUUGAGGACGACUAAUUCGGGUCAAUAUCAGAAUAUUUCAGUGGUACGGACAAACUCAAUGAAGUAUAUUCCUAAUUAUUUUGAGAAAGGACAGCUUAAAAAGAUGUUUUUCUUGUUCCCGGAUCCUCAUUUUAAAGAGAAGAAUCAUCGUAGACGUGUUAUUAGUCCAUUCUUGUUAGAUGAGUAUGCGUAUGUGCUUGCAGUUGGUGGAAUUAUAUAUACAAUAACAGAUGUUGAGGAGCUUGGUGAGUGGAUGAAAUCAUGUUUGGA